UGGGGAAUAUUGGACAAUGGGCGAAAGCCUGAUCCAGCCAUGCCGCGUGUGUGAAGAAGGUCUUCGGAUUGUAAAGCACUUUAAGUUGGGAGGAAGGGCAGUAAGCGAAUACCUUGCUGUUUUGACGUUACCGACAGAAUAAGCACCGGCUAACUCUGUGCCAGCAGCCGCGGUAAUACAGAGGGUGCAAGCGUUAAUCGGAAUUACUGGGCGUAAAGCGCGCGUAGGUGGUUCGUUAAGUUGAAUGUGAAAGCCCCGGGCUCAACCUGGGAACUGCAUCCAAAACUGGCGAGCUAGAGUAGGGCAGAGGGUGGUGGAAUUUCCUGUGUAGCGGUGAAAUGCGGAGAUAUAGGAAGGAACACCAGUGGCGAAGGCGACCACCUGGGCUCAUACUGACACUGAGGUGCGAAAGCGUGGGGAGCAAACAGG
rnacentral:rRNA from 1 species